UUGAAAAGCGCAGAGAAAUUGCUAUUCGCUGCCUCAUAGUCUAUCUUGGAGAGAAGGAGGAGGAUCUUUUCAAACAAUACAGCGAUGAGGAGGAGCUCAACGCAGACCUUGCAAUGCAAAUCAUGAAGAUUGCUAUCAUUGGUGAUGGGCCUGCAACCAUCAUCGUUGAGGGAUCCAAGAUCCUGGAGAGGAUUGAUGUUGCCAGAUCCUGUGCUUUGAUGAUGGGAGUAAUCUACGCUCUGAACCUUACCUAUCCCAAGCAGCUGAAAUUUACCUUUGAGGUAUUUCAAAAGCUAUGCCUUGAGCUUGAUGGACAAAAAGCCAGCCCUAAAGUAAUGAAUCUUAAGUUUGGUAUUUUCUAGAGCAGACUUGAUAGACCAUUCGUGAGUGAGUUUCACAGAAACCUUAUUCCUGCAUUUCUGGCACUACUUCAUUGUGUUUUACUAAAUUUUAAAGCGCUGUUCUUAAGUCUUCUGAGUUAAUGUUUUGCCGUGUCUUAAAUGCUGUUAUUUGCACAUUUUUAAGGAAUGCGUUUAAUUUCUCCCAUGACCUGUGUUCUGAGGGUACUGGUGUGUUUUAAAGUUUGUGUAAUGCCCUCUUUAGCUGGCCUUAAUCUUGAGGGUGAAAAGUCAAAUAUAGAAGAGAAUCAAGAAUACUUUGUAAGAGUGCUGACAAAGUUGAAUGAAAGAAGCUUUGCUCAUUUUAUGUUUAAAUUAGUGCAUUUAAUGUAUAGCAGCCUGUCAUCUUUUGUUUUGAUUCACUGUCACAUGUAAAA